rnacentral:rRNA from 1 species
AGCUCUCUGCUAAAGGUUACUGAAGUAUAGAGGGUGAAUUCUGCCCAAUGGUUGUAUAGUGAAACUGAGGACUAACGUCUAAGGCGAAACCCAACUGAAUGGCCGCGGUAACUCUGACCGUGAUAAUGUAGCACAAUAAAUAGCCAAUUAAUUGUUGGCGGGUAUGAAUGGAACCACGAGGGUCUUACUGUCUCAAGAGGAAAGCCGAUGAAAUUAUAGUUGUAGUGAAGAUACUACAUAAACAUUGUAAGACGAAAAGACCCUAUCGAGCUUUACUGGAUACCGAUAGCGUUAACUUAAAAUGAUCAAUACUAAGUAUCCUAAUUUUGAGUUAAUAAUUUUUGUUGGUUGGACAGUUUAGUUGGGGCGACUACCUUUGAAUAAGAAACGAAGGCGAGCUUAUGGUAUAUAAAGUUAAUCUCAUUAGCCUGACAGUGAGGGGGACACCCCUAGCUGGCACAAGGACUAUGUCCUAUGUGGGCGAUAAUGACCCGAUAUGAUUGUCUAAAAUAAAUAUCGAAAGCGGAUAAAAGCUACCGUAGGGAUAACAGCGUAAUAUUGUCGGAGAGUUCUUAUCGAGGACAGUGUUUGCGACCUCGAUGUUGAAUUGCGGUGCCCUGGUGCUGUAGAAGGUACCUUAGGUUGGUCUGUUCGACCAUGAAAACCG